UUUAGUCCAUCAAGUAAAUGCCUGAAUCAGUCAGUGGGUCUCAAAAACUACAAAGUUCUUUUGGGACCAGCCAUUCAUUCAUCUUUUUUGAUCAACUUUUAAUUAAUUUUAUUUUUAUUAGCUAGGACUUUUAGUUAGGACUUGGGAGUUAGAAUGGGGGUUUUAAAAUGGUGCCACAUUACUAGUCAACACUGUACAACUAGGGAUUGAAAGAUUGAAUCAUUGGCAAAGGCAAACAAAUUCAAGCAAAUGCAUGCCUAAGCUCUUCAAAGUGGUGUCUCUCGGAUGACUCAAGCCCACGGCCAGAGGCCUUCUUUGCCCACCACCUAUAUCUUCAGAGAUACAAAAGUUGCUAUUUCUUUUAUUAUUAUUAUUAUUAUUAUUGCUUUCCUACUCAAAAAUGCUAUUUUGAUUCUAUGUGAUGCAUGAGGUUGAUAUCAAGUGUCGCCACAAAAACCUUGAAAAGAGGCCAAGAGCUUCCAUCGAUUACAGACUAUGUUUACCUUGUAGAUUAUGGGAAAAUUGGCAGCCAAUUCUUAUCGCAUGGGGUUGGGAAAUUCAUCACAAAGGUUUUCAGCUUGACACUUUUCUAUGCAAGCACUUGCUACUUCCAGAAGCAGACAGUACUUUCACUGGGCUAAGAGGAUGCAACGCAAACAAACACAUAACUUAUCCAAGUACUUUCUCUGGUCACAGUAUCGGAAGGGAAUUGUACAUUUUUUAUUUUUUGGAUAAUUUAAGGGAAUUAUAAAAUAAAAUGGUCCAUUGAAGAUUUCAUAGAUGAAAAACUGUAACAAAAAUCAUAACAGUUUGAUUAGAAGCAAGCAAUACAUAAAUUUUUACCCUCUGAUGGCCUCGUGAUAAAAUUAAACUCAGCAUCUUUGUUUUCUCGUUUAUUUUGCUCCACCAGGCAACGCCAAAAAUCAUUGAAAUUUAGCAAGGAAAAAAAAAAAAAAUUAAAAAAUGAA